UUACUACUCCCUCUGUUUCAAAAUUCUUGUCUUAAACUUGUCUAGAUACGGAUACGUAUUUAGACAAAUUUAAGACAAGAAUUUUGGGAUGGAGGGAGUACUUG
rnacentral:pre_miRNA from 1 species